CCCAAGACAGGCCCCGUGUGUAAGCCUCCUCACUUAUUACACCUGCCACCCACCAAACUGGGGUGGCCCGCUUCUCUUGCCUCUCCCUGCCCUCCUUAUUGGGGGGGAAGCAGUUCCAGAUUUCACUUGGGAGUUCCCGAGGAUGCGACCUGACAAUUGAUGAACCAGCCGGGACACUGAUGACAUGGGUCUUGGGAAAGAGAUGUCUUCCAGGGAAAUCUGGAGUUGGCCGUGCCCUGCGUGUGGGAACACGGGGGCCUGGAGAGAGAGAGGCAGAGACACAGGCAGAGGGAGCUCCAAGCAGGGAGCCCGAUGUGGGAUUCGAACCCGGGACCUCAGGAUCGCACCCUGAGCCGAAGGCAGACACGGAGCCACCCGGACGUCCCACGUCCCAGGCUUUAGUCCGUUUAAGUGAUCAACUGGAAGGCAGCUCUCCCAUCUCCCCAGGUUCUUCUCGUCCACAAGCGGAGGCCACGGGACCACCGAAAGCAUUUUUCUGGGAUCCUAGGGAUUGCACGAUCCAGGAGAAACGGAGCAGAUCAAGAUCAGAAGUGUGCUCCGAAUCACCGGACAGGCGCACGGGCUUGCCAAGGCUAAGGCCACAAGGGCGUGGACAUCUGGAACCGUCCUCCUCACCAGCCUGCUCGCUGUCCAGGAGAGCAGCGGGCCCAUAGGACCAUCCCUCGGCGUUCGCAGAGCAAAGGAACGAGGCAGCCCUGAUGCGCGAGUUGUGGCCCGAGAAAUGCCGGGAACGCGUCUUCCCCCCUGGUCUGGGAAGUUAGGGCCACGGGCAAGGAGGCCAGGACGGAGCGGGUGAGCCGAUGGCUGGAGGUUGGCGGAGCACACGCGGGCGCCUCUUACUGCAGCCACAUGGGGGGAGGCAGAGGGUCUCUCGAAUGCUUACUGCUUUGCCAUUUGUCAUUUGCUCUGGCAAUAAGGGAGGGAAAAUGCGCCACCGCACAGGUCACUGUGGGGCUGACCAUUUUUCCUAAUCUGCAAACCUCAGCUGUAAUCACACUGGUGGACUGUAGAACCCUCUUCCUAACUCUUGUUUCCCCGUCAUAAACCUUCACCCAAGGACGCCUGGGUGGCUCAGGGGUUGAGCAUCUGCCUUUGGCCCGGGGCGUGAUCCUAGGGUCUCGGGAUCGAGUCCCGUAUCGGGCUCCCUGCGUGGAGUUGGCUUCUCCCUCUG